GAUGAACGCUGGCGGCGUGCCUAAUACAUGCAAGUCGAGCGAACAGACGAGGAGCUUGCUCCUCUGACGUUAGCGGCGGACGGGUGAGUAACACGUGGAUAACCUACCUAUAAGACUGGGAUAACUUCGGGAAACCGGAGCUAAUACCGGAUAAUAUAUUGAACCGCAUGGUUCAAUAGUGAAAGACGGUUUUGCUGUCACUUAUAGAUGGAUCCGCGCCGCAUUAGCUAGUUGGUAAGGGAACGGCUUACCAAGGCGACGAUGCGUAGCCGACCUGAGAGGGUGAUCGGCCACACUGGAACUGAGACACGGUCCAGACUCCUACGGGAGGCAGCAGUAGGGAAUCGUCCGCAAUGGGCGAAAGCCUGACGGAGCAACGCCGCGUGAGUGAUGAAGGUCUUCGGAUCGUAAAACUCUGUUAUUAGGGAAGAACAAAUGUGUAAGUAACUAUGCACGUCUUGACGGUACCUAAUCAGAAAGCCACGGCUAACUACGUG
rnacentral:rRNA from 1 species